rnacentral:misc_RNA from 1 species
GGAUUAUGUCUCAGUCUGGCUCUAAUUUUGCUGGUACUCCUGACAGCGACUAUGGCGAUCCGACGAACUUUGAGCUCUCAGAAUUCUUGAAGUUUGAUGAGUGGGAGGAAGAUGAUCAAUCAUUUCUGGCUUCUGGUUCUACCCAGAAUCCUGUUUAUCGAGCACAUGUAAUCGGUGAGUCAGGUGGAGCUACCAGCCCUCAUGGAGGGCCUAGUAUCGGUGAGGGCAGGGAGAAAAAGGAAGUUAAAGAAAGGGUAGCAUUCAAGACAAAAUCAGAUGUUGAGAUACUAGAUGAUGGGUUCAAGUGGAGGAAGUAUGGCAAGAAGAUGGUCAAGAAUAGCCCAAACCCAAGAAAUUACUAUCGAUGCUCAGUUGAAGGCUGCCCUGUGAAGAAGAGAAUAGAAAGAGAUAGAGAGGAUAUAAGAUAUGUAAUAACAACGUAUGAGGGUAUCCACAAUCACCCAAGUUCUUCUUAAGCAUCAGGUUGCUUUCAGUUCAUUAUUGGGUUUCUGGCCAAAGUCCCGCUAUUUAUCAUUUUCUUAAGAUCAUAUGAUAUUAUAAUUAGUCCUUUUUUCUUGUAGGAGAUUACGAUGUGAAGAUUGAACUCAAAACUUUUAUAUGAUAUUAUAUUUGUGUAUCAAUUAAUUAAUAUAUAUACUUCAAU